AUCUGAACUGUACAAUAUAAUAUAGGUAGCAAGUGCAAUACACCGAUGACCGAUGGACGAUGGUGAUAAUAAAUCACGAUUUAAUCGUGCGAAAAAAACAAUAAUAACAGCUAAAAAGAGUAUAUUUGAAAUAAUGUCUUGCUGAUGGCUGGCCCAACAGUUUUGAUUGGUAUACCAUAGGAUAUAUUUGCCAAUAAUAAUGGAUUAUCUGAUCUUCUAAAUGCGUUAACAAGUAAUUUUGGACUAGGGUAUUGCUCAACAAUUGCAAAUGCUUUAUGAACAGACAAUCCUCGGAUCUGAAGCAAUUGCCGAAUCAGCAUAUCUCGUACAGUCAUGUUCUAUAAAAUGAAUUGAUAUUAUAUUAUAGACAAAUAAAAAUAAAAACUAUUUUAUACAAUAUUAACAUACCUUGUUUUUUGCAGAACCUGAGGAAAAAGUUUUAAAAGAUAUGAGUUUUACUACAUUUGAGGAGUUUCCAUAACCCGAAUCUACUUCAUCAAUAUGAGUUGUAAGCGUUUUGUCCUGUGAAUAUUUAAAAAAAAUGUCUAUAGAUUUCAAAUAUACAUUGAAUUAUAUAGAAGAUUAAGACAGUUUUACCUUGAACAUAUUUGCAAAUCAUCGUGAGUCAGAGAUAUCAUUGAAUUCUGACUUUGAUUACUUGUUGAGGGUUGUAAGACAUUGACAAGUUUUGUAUUUUUAGAAAUGUCAGCCAUAAUACCUUCAUCUGCAAUUUAUCAUUUAAAUCUUUACCUGAACCUGAGGAUAUUUUAUUAUGUUGUUCAAGCUGCUUGUCUAAUCUGGCACAUAAUUUUGGACCAAAAAAUUUUAGAAUUAAACAUUCUUUUCCGCUUU